GACGAACGCUGGCGGCGUGCUUAACACAUGCAAGUCGAACGGAAAGGCCCUGCUUUUGUGGGGUGCUCGAGUGGCGAACGGGCGAGUAACACGUGAGUAACCUGCCCUUGACUUUGGGAUAACUUCAGGAAACUGGGGCUAAUACCGCAUAGGAGCUCCUGCUGCAUGGUGGGGGUUGGAUAGUUUCGGCGGUUGGGGAUGUACUCGCGGCUUAUCAGCUUGUUGGUGGGGUAGUGGCUUACCAAGGCUUUGACGGGUAGCCGGCAUGCGAGGGGUACCGGCAACAAUGGGACUGAGAUACGGCCCAGACUCCAACGGGAGGCAGCAGAGGGGAAGAGUACACAAUGGGCGGAAGCCAGAUGCAGCAACGCCGCGUGCGGGAUGACGGGCUGCGGGUUGUAAAGCGCAGUCGCCUGUGACGAAGCGAGAGUGACGGUAAUGGGUAAAGAAGCACCGGCUAACUACGUG
rnacentral:rRNA from 1 species